rnacentral:rRNA from 1 species
CCUUUCCUUGUUCUACCCGCCUAUAUACCACCGUCGUCAGCUUAUCCUGUGAAGGUUAACUAAUAAGCAAAAUUGGCACACCCCAAAACGUCAGGUCGAGGUGUAGCGUACGGAGAGGGAAGAAAUGGGCUACAUUCUCUAUUCUAGAGAACACGAACGAUAAACUGAAAGACAUAUCUGAAGGAGGAUUUAGUAGUAAGGGGGAAAUAGAGCGUCCUCCUGAAACUGGCCCUGAAGCGCGCACACACCGCCCGUCACUCUCCCCAAGCUUCCUAUAUUUAUUAAAUAAAACACUCUAUCUGCAAAGGGGAGGCAAGUCGUAACAUGGUAAGUGUACUGGAAGGUGCACUUGGAUAAAU